UACGUAGGGGGCAAGCGUUGUCCGGAAUCAUUGGGCGUAAAGCGCGUGUAGGCGGCCCGAUAAGUCCGCUGUGAAAGUCCAGGGCUCAACCCUGGGAUGCCGGUGGAUACUGUCGGGCUCGAGUCCGGAAGAGGCGAGUGGAAUUCCUGGUGUAGCGGUGGAAUGCGCAGAUAUCAGGAGGAACACCGAUGGCGAAGGCAGAUCUCUGGGCCGUAACUGACGCUGAGGAGCGAAAGCAUGGGGAGCGAACAGG
rnacentral:rRNA from 1 species